UCUGGCUUCCCACAUGGGGCACCCUCAUAGCUGUUGGGGGACAUCCCACUUUCUGAGCCUUGGGAGAUGCAGGGUGUAGCCUCCCUGACCCCUGGAGGAGAUAAAACAUGGAUGCCUCUCCUUCCAGCCUCCCUACAGACAUUUGUUGGCACAACAGCCACACCAUCGACCACCGGCCCUUCCUGUGGGAUUCAAAGGCCCAAGAGAAAGACCCACCAACUAAACAGCUCCACAUUGGAUUUGGAUUUGCUGCCCAAGUUCUAUCCUAUGACUCCUGAAGCCAACAGGACGACGAUUUUCAGCUUCAGCUUUAGCUACCUCAGGCUUCACAGACCAGAGAGUGCUCUGUUGUAGUCACUGUUGGUGAAUCAUUCUGCUGGGUCAAAGUGAGACUUCUUCAGUUGUGCUUCUUUACCAAUCCCAGAGGGACCCUGAAUGGAAUUUCAUGGCACUUGCAACAUCGAAGAUUACUGAGUCUUAAUACUAUGAAGACUUUCUCCCUGUACCACUAUGCUUCUCUGCCGGUUCAAAUUAUAUUUUAUGUUUCUCAUUAACAUUUUGCACUUUUCUCUACCUGGAUCCUACUCACUUUUGUAAACAUUAUUACAAGGUGUUUGGUAAUUUAAAAUCUUUCAUAAGAAUUUGAGCAUAAUCC
rnacentral:lncRNA from 1 species